AAACAUCUUUUCUUGUUAGUUUUUGAAGUAUGGCCUGCCCGCUGACUUGAGUGUUGAAGGGCCGCGGUAUUUUGACCGUGCAAAGGUAGCAUAAUCAUUAGUUCUUUAAUUGUGAUCUGGAAUGAAUGGCUUGACGAGGCACAGGCUGUCUUAAUGUUGAAUGUUUUAUUGAAUUUGGUUUUUGAGUUAAAAUUCUUAGAUGUUUUUGUGGGACGAGAAGACCCUAUAGAGUUUGACAUUUGGUUUAUUUGUUUGUUUGUUGUUUGUUUAUUUUAUUGGUGAGUGGACUUUUUGUUUUGUUGGGGUGAUGGGAGGAAUAUAAUUAACUCCUCUUGAUUUUGGUUAUAUUGAUUUAUAUUUAUUUGAUCCAUUUAUUUUGAUUAUAAGAUUAAAUUACCUUA
rnacentral:rRNA from 1 species